AAGCGGACUGAUCUGACUGAGUGGCGGACGGGUGAGUAACGCGUGGGUAACCUGCCUCAUACAGGGGGAUAACAGCUAGAAAUGGCUGCUAAUACCGCAUAAGCGCACAGUAUCGCAUGAUACGGUGUGAAAAGCCGAGACGGUAUGAGAUGGACCCGCGUCUGAUUAGCUAGUUGGUGGGGUAACGGCCCACCAAGGCGACGAUCAGUAGCCGACCUGAGAGGGUGACCGGCCACAUUGGGACUGAGACACGGCCCAAACUCC
rnacentral:rRNA from 1 species